rnacentral:sRNA from 12 species
UGCCUAACCCUCAGGAGCAAUUCUGAGGUAUGGCACAAUAAGAAAUCUCACGUGAAUAGAAACGGUCUUCCGACCGGCACUUAUUCACGUGAGUCAAUGUUUCGAAAGAGGCAUUGAGCAGUCCCGAAAGGGUUCUGUU